UACGUAGGGGCUAGCGUUGUCCGGAAUCAUUGGGCGUAAAGAGCGUGUAGGCGGCCACGCAGGUCCGUUGUGAAAACUGGAGGCUCAACCUUCAGACGUCGACGGAAACCGUAUGGCUAGAGUCCGGAAGAGGAGAGUGGAAUUCCUGGUGUAGCGGUGAAAUGCGCAGAUAUCAGGAAGAACACCAAUGGCGAAGGCAGCUCUCUGGGACGGUACUGACGCUGAGACGCGAAAGCGUGGGGAGCGAACAGG
rnacentral:rRNA from 1 species